ensembl:rRNA 5S_rRNA 5S ribosomal RNA
GUCUACAGCCUUCCCACCCUGAAUGCAUCCAUCUCAUCUGAUCUCAGAUGCUAAGCAGGGUCAGGCCUGGUUAGUACUUGGAUGGAAGACCACCUGGGAAUACUUGGUGCUGUAGGCU